AACGCACAUUGCGCCCUCUGGUAUUCCGGAGGGCAUGCCUGUUCGAGCGUCAUUACAACCCUCAAGCUCUGCUUGGUCUUGGACUUCGGGCGUUCGCCCGGGUCUUAAGAGAAGUGGCGGUGCCUUCAGGCUCUAAGCGUAGUAAAUUUUCUCGCUAUAGGUGUCUGGUGGUGCUAGCCAGAACCCCCAAUUUUUACAGGUUGACCUCGGAUCAGGUAGGGAUACCCGCUGAACUUAA
rnacentral:misc_RNA from 1 species